rnacentral:rRNA from 1 species
UACAGAGGGGGCAAGCGUUGUUCGGAAUUACUGGGUGUAAAGGGCGCGUAGGCGGCCUGCUAAGUCGAACGUGAAAUCCCUGGGCUCAACCCAGGAACUGCGUCCGAUACUGGUUGGCUUGAAUCCGGGAGAGGGAUGUGGAAUUCCAGGUGUAGCGGUGAAAUGCGCAGAUAUCAGGAAGAACACCAAUGGCGAAAGCAGCUCUCUGGGACGGUACUGACGCUGAGACGCGAAAGCGUGGGGAGCGAACAGG